GCCUGCGCUCCCCCGGGGCUCCGGCGCCGGCUGCGUCCCCAGCCCUCUCUGCCCUGGGACCCUCCUUGCUUUCUGAGGCCCCAGAGACAGUGCCAGGAGCUGGGGAGGGGGAUCCCCGCGGAGAUGCCUUCCACGUCCUGUGACCGAGCUCUGGAGGACGCUGGGACCUCGUCUGCUCUGCUGCUGUCUCUCGUUUCAUGUGAGUCCUUUAUGUGGCAGUUCCUCUGAAUGUGUGACAGCACACACAAAGUAUAAUCAGUACUGAAUCUCCUUUGACUCGAUAUCUAAUAAGAGCACAGCCAUGUUUCGUGGAGUAUUUGGAGAAUGCCACAGAAGGGCUGGAGAGGUGCCCCGCCGCCACGCCCGGCCAGCUCCCCGCUAGAGGGCGCCCUAACUGUCCCCUUCUGGAGCCGACCAUUAAUCAGAAAGGGGCCGCUGUGGGUCUCCGGAGCACAACUGAGUGGAACUCGGGGUCCAGGAGCUGCACUUAGAACUUCCUCCAGAGACCCAUAGUCUCCGUCACCCUCACAUUUCUAAAGAACUACGUCCAGGACUCUUAGCACAAGCUUGCCACUCCUCAUACCACAUAUAACCAUGCAAAAGGCCACCUUAAAAGGGUUUCAGUAAGUUAGUCUUCCAAAAAUAUUAGCCAGAUGACCAUUCGCUUUGCAGCCAGCUUCCCUUUCCCUCAGCUAGUAAGUCAAACAAAACUCCUACUCCGAAUUAUUAGCCUGGCAAUUGUUCCAGCUGGCCCUUGGCAACCAGGUGUUCAAUAAUGCUUUCUUUGUUUUCCAAUCUUCAGUGAAUUAUAGGUAUAAAGAGAUGUCUGCUUACAUAUUAAAUGUUUUUAAUGUCA